AAACUACAAGGGGAGCCGAAGCUCCCCCAGAAGUAGUUGCGUGCUCUAUUUUUAUUAUGGGUUGCGGGCUUCUUGUUUUUGUUGAUCGCCCUCGCCAUGAAGCUUCACCUUCAUGACACUCCCAAUCGGGAGUCAAGAGCAAACGGAUUGCUUUGGUCGCUGUGUUGCUGAUCUAAGAUCCAACCAGUUCAGGCUCUGCCUUAGGGCAGUU
rnacentral:misc_RNA from 1 species